CCUACGGGAGGCAGCAGUGGGGAAUUUUGCGCAAUGGACGAGAGUCUGACGCAGCAACGCCGCGUGGGUGAUGAAGGUCUUCGGACUGUAAAACCCUGUCGUCAGGGACGAAGGUGGCACGACUAAUAAUCGUGUUACUUGACGGUACCUGGAGAGGAAGCCCCGGCUAACUCUGUGCCAGCAGCCGCGGUAAUA
rnacentral:rRNA from 1 species